CUUUUAUUCAUCUGUAAAAAUGGUUAUUACAGAUACUCCUGUAAUUAAUACAACUACAAGAUAACAACCAAGUAAAAGUUUUUGUUGCUUUUGUUUUAAAUCAACCAUGAUUUUUAACUGUGUUAGAAUGGACUACAAUUACAGCCAUGACAGGCUGAAUGUUUGUGGAAUGCCGCUGUAGAAGGUAGGCACCGUUAGGUUGGUUCUUGGUUGCUCCAUCCUUACAGCUGACUAAUACAGUCCUCUACAGGUUUUGUCAAAUAAAGCAGCCUGAAAAUAUGAAUAUAUAUAUAGUAACAUAUAAGACUAAGAAUGAACAUAAAAAUAAGAAGGAAAUAUGCAAUGGGGCAAGAGGGAGAGAUGAAAGAGAAAACUGGAAAGAAAACAAGAACAUUGUAACUAAUACUUUAACGCUGUGGAGACUGAUGGUAAUUUAUCUGUCAUGACGUCACGUUGCAUUAGUGAAUUAACAUCAAUAAGUUAGAUAACAGGGGAAGCGGAGGAGAAGAAAAACAAUGUAGUGGAUUCUUAUAUGGAGUGGCGUCAAUCAACCAGGGAGUGGUGCUGAGGCUGAUCUGUUCAUCCACAGCGACCACAGCACGGGAGCCCUUCUGAAUGAAGAUCCACUGAAUGAGGAUCAGGACCUCAUGUCGCUCCGGAAUCUCUUUGGGGAACUGGUUGUUUACACUAAAGUCCGUUCCUUUCAGCUGCCUGUUCCUUCUGCUUGAAAUGUUGGAAUUUGGUCACAAUAGGACGCGGUCUUCAGGCAUCAUUCUUGCUGCCAGGCCAUGGACACAGUGGAAGGUGAUGUUCUUCAGCAUGUCCUGUGGAAGCUUCAGGUGGGUCCUGAUGAAGGUUUUAAUGGUAACUUCUGCGUCCUCUUCCGCAGAUUCCAGGAUGCCUGAAAACACCAGGGGAUAGUGUGGAAAUCGACCAUAGUGUCUUUUAUUAUUUUAAAAUCAUUAUUAUUUUACUUUCUUCACUGAGCUGGGUCACAUGACCAAGUCUCGUAGCGAGGCGUUUUCAGCAGUGAGUGUUUCCACCUGCUGCUGGCUGAACACCAAACAUUCCCUUACUGCUUUGGUGCGGUGCUCUUUGUCUGUUUGGCAUGCUGAAUAGAGGAGGAAACACGGUGCCGUUAUUAAUGUCACAGCCAAGGCCGACCUGGGAAAAAGACUCGAUAUGGAGAACACUCACGGAGGCACUGGUGGAGGUUUUUAGGCACGAGAGGGGGAAGAGGUCUGGGUGAGGCAGUGCUGUUUCCAGGUGGGGUGUUACGUAGGUGCUGUGACAGGAGGGCAGGUGAGUGAAAAAGAGAGCUUUUUGCACUGAGCUGUCUCGUACUGACCGGCAUCGGGAUGAUGGUGAAUAUGGCCAGCAGAGGAAAUGACAGACAGCAGGAUGACUGCAGGUUGAGAGCACAGGAUUAAUCUCACCAUGAAAAAAAUCUGUUUUGAUGACUACUCCGUGACAACCAGCACUAACUGUAGGUAAGCUGAAGACUUGGCAGAGAGUAGGGGUGAGCGCUGGUCUUAAGUACUGACAGCUCAACUGCCAGCAGGUGUGGAGGCACGCAGGUAUGCCGUGACUCCGCCCAGGGGUGGAAACUGAGACUCUGUGGAAAAAACAGACCAUGACAGUUAAUAAAUAAUAAAUUGUAAAAACUUCUCCCAUAAAAAAACCAACAGUGCCAUGUUUG
ensembl:lncRNA